UACGGAGGGUGCAAGCAUUGAUCGGAAUUACUGGGCGUAAAGGGCGCGUAGGCGGUAUGGAAAGUCAGGUGUGAAAUUCCGGGGCUCAACUCCGGAGCUGCACUUGAAACUUCCAAACUGGAGUACAGUUAGGGAAAACGGAAUUCCACGUGUAGCGGUGAAAUGCGUAGAUAUGUGGAAGAACACCGGUGGUGAAGACGGUUUUCUGGGCUGAAACUGACGCUGAGGCGCGAAAGCAAGGGGAGCAAACAGG
rnacentral:rRNA from 1 species